rnacentral:tRNA from 1 species
GCGGCUGUAGCUCAGAGGAUAGAGCAGCCGCCUUCUAAGCGGCAGGUCAAAGGUUCGAGUCCUUCCAGCCGCACCA